AGAGUUUGAUCCUGGCUCAGAACGAACGCUGGCGGCGUGGAUAAGACAUGCAAGUCGAACGAGAGAAUUGCUAGCUUGCUAAUAAUUCUCUAGUGGCGCACGGGUGAGUAACACGUGAGUAACCUGCCCCCGAGAGCGGGAUAGCCCUGGGAAACUGGGAUUAAUACCGCAUAGUAUCGAAAGAUUAAAGCAACAAUGCGCUUGGGGAUGGGCUCGCGGCCUAUUAGUUAGUUGGUGAGGUAACGGCUUACCAAGGCGAUGACGGGUAGCCGGUCUGAGAGGAUGUCCGGCCACACUGGAACUGAGACACGGUCCAGACACCUACGGGUGGCAGCAGUCGAGAAUCAUUCACAAUGGGGGAAACCCUGAUGGUGCGACGCCGCGUGGGGGAAUGAAGGUCUUCGGAUUGUAAACCCCUGUCAUGUGGGAGCAAAUUAAAAAGAUAGUACCACAAGAGGAAGAGACGGCUAACUCUGUGCCAGCAGCCGCGGUAAUACAGAGGUCUCAAGCGUUGUUCGGAAUCACUGGGCGUAAAGCGUGCGUAGGCUGUUUCGUAAGUCGUGUGUGAAAGGCGCGGGCUCAACCCGCGGACGGCACAUGAUACUGCGAGACUAGAGUAAUGGAGGGGGAACCGGAAUUCUCGGUGUAGCAGUGAAAUGCGUAGAUAUCGAGAGGAACACUCGUGGCGAAGGCGGGUUCCUGGACAUUAACUGACGCUGAGGCACGAAGGCCAGGGGAGCGAAAGGGAUUAGAUACCCCUGUAGUCCUGGCAGUAAACGGUGCACGCUUGGUGUGCGGGGAAUCGACCCCCUGCGUGCCGGAGCUAACGCGUUAAGCGUGCCGCCUGGGGAGUACGGUCGCAAGAUUAAAACUCAAAGAAAUUGACGGGGACCCGCACAAGCGGUGGAGUAUGUGGCUUAAUUCGAUGCAACGCGAAGAACCUUACCUGGGCUUGACAUGUAAUGAACAACAUGUGAAAGCAUGCGACUCUUCGGAGGCGUUACACAGGUGCUGCAUGGCCGUCGUCAGCUCGUGUCGUGAGAUGUUUGGUUAAGUCCAGCAACGAGCGCAACCCCUGUUGCCAGUUACCAGCACGUGAAGGUGGGGACUCUGGCGAGACUGCCCAGAUCAACUGGGAGGAAGGUGGGGACGACGUCAGGUCAGUAUGGCCCUUAUGCCCAGGGCUGCACACGUACUACAAUGCCCAGUACAGAGGGGGCCGAAGCCGCGAGGCGGAGGAAAUCCUAAAAACUGGGCCCAGUUCGGACUGUAGGCUGCAACCCGCCUACACGAAGCCGGAAUCGCUAGUAAUGGCGCAUCAGCUACGGCGCCGUGAAUACGUUCCCGGGUCUUGCACUCACCGCCCGUCA
rnacentral:rRNA from 1 species